AUGCGCAUCGUGGUGCCGCUGCAGGGGGUGGUGCAGGGCCGCGGCGGGCUCGUCCUCGGCUCCCUCAUCCCCUGCGCCCUCUUCUACUUCCUCCAGCUCUACAUCAAGCGCAACCGCCCGCCGCCGGGCUCCCCCACCGCGGCCUCCUCCGCCGCGCCCGCCGCGGCGGGCCCGCUCUCGCCGAUCCACCGCUCCCUCUCGCGGGGCCUGCUCUCCCCGCGCGCGCUCCCGGCCCUCUCCGCCCGCGGCGCCGUCGUCCGCGCCGGGGACGAGGACUCCCUCUACUACGCCGGCCUCCGCCGCUGCGCCGACGACCCCUACCACCCCGCCUCCAACCCCUCCGGCGUCAUCCAGCUCGGCCUCGCCGAGAACCACCUGUCCCUGGAUUUGGUGAGGGAGUGGAUGGAGGAGCACGCGGGGCCGGCGAUGACGCCGGGCGGAGGCGCCGAGGAGAGGGACCUCACCAUCAGCGGGCUCGCCACGUACCAGCCAUACGACGGGAUACUUGCCUUGAAGAUGGCUGUUGCUGGAUUUAUGAGGCAAAUAAUGCAAGAGUCAGUAUCCUUUGAUCCAUCUCAAAUGGUGAUAACAUCUGGUGCGACGCCUGCAAUGGAAAUACUGAGCUUCUGUCUUGCUGAUCCAGGAAAUGCAUUUCUUGUUCCGUCACCGUACUACCCUGGGUGGGACAGGGAUAUAAAAUGGCGAACCGGUAUUGAGUUGAUUCCUGUUCCUUGCCGUAGCACCGACAACUUUAACAUCAGUAUCACUGCUCUAGAAAUAGCGUAUAAUCAGGCAAAGAAGCGAGGGGUGAGGGUUCGUGGGGUUCUCAUAUCUAAUCCUUCCAACCCCACAGGAAGCUUUGUGCCCAAGCAAACACUGCGCGAUCUUCUAGAUUUUGCUACAGAGAAGAAUAUACACUUAAUUUCUGAUGAAGUAUUUGCCGGUUCAACAUUCGGAAGUGGUGAAUUUGUCAGUGUGGCAGAGCUUGUGAACGAGCUAGAAGACUUUGACAGAGGCAGGGUUCACAUAAUCUACGGGCUCUCAAAAGACCUAUCUCUUGCAGGGUUUCGAGUCGGAAUCAUAUAUUCGUAUAACGAAAGCAUUGUGGAGGCAGCUGCCAAGAUUGCCAGAUUCUCAUCUGUGUCGACCCCGACCCAGCGCCUUCUUGUUGCCAUGCUUUCGGACCAGAAGUUUAUUUCAAAUUACCUGAAAGUUAACAGAGAGAGGCUGCGCAAGGCGUACAAUCUGCUCGUUGAUGCUUUGAAACAGGUGGGCAUCGAGUGCUUCAAGAGCAGCGGAGGGUUCUACUGCUGGGCAGACAUGAGCAAGUUCAUCCGGUCUUACAGUGAGAAAGGGGAACGCAGGCUUUGGGACAGGCUGUUGGAGGAGGCGAAGGUCAAUGUCACCCCAGGUUCAUCUUGCCAUUGCAUUGAGCCUGGUUGGUUUAGGUGCUGUUUCACAACGUUGAGGGAGCAGGAUAUUCCUGUGGUGGUGGAAAGGCUCAGGAGGGUCACAGAUGGCCACAAAUCAAACCGCUGA
rnacentral:rRNA from 1 species